rnacentral:rRNA from 1 species
GACGAACGCUGGCGGCGUGCCUAAUACAUGCAAGUAGAACGCACAGUUUAUACCGUAGCUUGCUACACCAUAGACUGUGAGUUGCGAACGGGUGAGUAACGCGUAGGUAACCUGCCUGGUAGCGGGGGAUAACUAUUGGAAACGAUAGCUAAUACCGCAUAAUAUUAAUUAUUGCAUGAUAAUUAAUUGAAAGGUGCAAUUGCACCACUACCAGAUGGACCUGCGUUGUAUUAGCUAGUAGGUGAGGUAACGGCUCACCUAGGCGACGAUACAUAGCCGACCUGAGAGGGUGAUCGGCCACACUGGGACUGAGACACGGCCCAGACUCCUACGGGAGGCAGCAGUAGGGAAUCUUCGGCAAUGGACGAAAGUCUGACCGAGCAACGCCGCGUGAGUGAAGAAGGGUUUCGGAUCGUAAAGCUCUGUUGUAAGAGAAGAACGGGUGUGAGAGUGGAAAGUUCACACUGUGACGGUAUCUUACCAGUAAGGGACGGCUAACUACGUG